CUGCAGGAGGGCCUUCACAUUGAUUCAUGGCUGGCGUCAGGGUAGAGCUGCUGCUGGUCCUGACUGCGACUCUGCUGGUUUCAGUAGAGGGAUGGGCGCGGAUCAAGAAAAUUCAACGUCCCUCGCCAGAUGACCGCAGGGAGGACGACAGCGGUGAAGAUGCAGUUCUUGAGGAUUCAUUGCUUCAAGUUGAAGGCCCACCGCCAGUGGAAACUUCUACAAUUUUGCUAACCAUGGAGACCAGAUUGACACAGUAGAUUCUAGUCCAAGAACAUGGCGCAGAGGUACUGAUAGUAGUUUCCAGAUGGAAUUUGACAAUAUCCCUUCAAGGAGCCAGACCAGCGGUACCAGUCGGCGUCGGACUGGGCUAGAUGUGGUUUGCAGUGACGCUGGCUUUCAAAUUACUGUGCUGAAAGGUUCAUUAAGUGAAGUUAAAGUUGUGGGCUCAAAGGACCUGCUGUCUGUUAUGGAUGCUCCAGAGUCUUGUGGUUAUGAAGUGAACCUUGACUAACACCUUGGCUGUACCCUUUACCGGGUGCCAUGUGAAACGGAGUGACCGCUACAGCCUGCAGUUGUUGUACGUCAACGCGUUUGAUCAGACACAAGUUGCUACCGCAUCUUGUGAGAGACGCCUGAAGGUUGACCCAGGCGUAUUUCCUGGCUCCAGUGGCCAAUCCUAUCCACAUUUAAGCGCAUUGAGCCAAUCCGAGCGCGGCCACAACGGCCUGCAUGUCCGCAAAAGCCUGGCUCGCCCCAAGAACCUUCAUUGCCCCUAGGGCCUGGAUCA